GAAGCAACAGACAAGUAUGUGCUGCUCUCUUCUAAAUAUGGGAACACUCAACAACUUCUAAUCAUGGAGAGCAACCCAGGGAGAGAAGGAGAGCAGCGGCACCUGAAGAAUCCAGAUUUCUGCCUUGCACAGAUACUGGUUAAUCCCCGACAAGUACUGACACACCCUGACCUUGAAAUGCAGAGAUGCCUAAAACAAAAUGGUAAGGCUGUGUCCAUGGAGGAGGGGAACAAGAGAAGGAAAAAAAAAAUUCCAAUUAAUUAUCUCAGGUCACUUUAUUCUACAACAGAGUCCUCCAGGAAAAUGCAACAUUCUCAUUUUAGUCAGAUUUGGGGCAGGGGGUGUUUUUAACUUUAACAAAGUCUUUUUUUAGGGGGGAGAAAGGAAGAUGGUUUGACAGAUCAAGACCUAAGUGAUUUCAACAUCCAAACCGACAGCUUUUCAGAUCCUUUGGCCCUAUAGUCCCUCCAUCUUUUUUGACCUCCUCCCCACUUGCAUCUCAGACUUUCUCACUCUCCAAACACAAAUUCUUCACUUUCCCAUUUCCCAUCACAUCCACAAAAACUUCAUUCAUCCUUCCACCCCGAUCCAAAUCUCCAAACUAUCAACUUUUCCCAUUUCACCCAGUUCAUUGGCUGCAUCAGACUUCUCCAUCCACCUGGUUCAAAAUCCACUAUUUCUGUUUGAAUUUGAAGACCAGCUCACUUAAUUCCUAACCUUGCAUCACCUGCUCACUAUCAAUUUUGUCACAUUCCUGCUCCUGAACCGCAAAGAAUUGCUGGAGCUAAAUGCAGAAUUGUGCCGAUCUAACCAAUUAUGCAGAAUCAGCUGGUGCAUACCAGCAAACUUAUCAGGAAUUGUACAGCUACUUGAUGCUUAUAGCUGUGUGACUGUGGGCAGCAGAAUAGUGGGGAAUUUAACUCAUAUUCCAGCUUAGAAAUAUAUGUCACACUCCAUGUAAAAUAAAUUCACUUUAGGAAUAUUUUAAUAGCAAUACAUUAUAGGGGGCUCUAUCUUAAUUAGAUGCCUAAACAUGUUUCUGAACUUAGUCAACUGUGAUAUAUACACAUCACCAAAACCUGACAAUAAUCAGGGAGAAUAAAUUAGCUUUAAAGUACACCUCAGGUGUACAGCUUUGCCCUGUUAAAAAUGCAUUUGUUGAAUGUCAGUCCUAGACUUCCACCUUAGAAUCAGGGGAGCUAGUUUCAAAUAUGACUUUGCUAUUUAACUACUGGACAAAUCACUGAAGCUCUCUGGGCUUCAUUCAGUUUUCCCAUAUGUGAAAUGAGAGUAGUGGACUAAAUGAUCUUUAGCUCUAGCCCAGCUCUAAAAUCUGUCACUUUUGAAUUUUGGUUUCCUCUGCUAGACAAUAAAAAGGGCUUUCCUCGUGACGAUUCUGUGAUGUGAGGAGGGCAAGUAUUAGUAUUUUUAUUUUGUUUUUUUAUUUCUUAAAUGAUUUCUCAUGCAUUUGACUCUCAACAAAAAUAAAGUCAAUUAAACAUA